rnacentral:lncRNA from 1 species
GAUUUGAAAAAUUAAAAAAAUUUAAAGAAGAAGAAGAUUAGAUUUAGAUUUGAUUUAGGAAGAUUAGAAUAAGAUUAAAAGAAACUUAGAAGAAGAUAAGAAUUUAGAACUUACAGUAGCAGCAGCAGAGUCGGAGAAAGAAGUAGCAGCAGAGCAGGAGAAAGUAGCAGCCGUAGAGAUGAAACCAGAGAGAGAACGUAAGAGAGAGAGAGACCAUAGAGAACAUGAGAGAGAGACCAGAGAGAACGUGAGAUUUUAUUUUAAUUUUUUUUAGCUUAACUUUUAUAUGGGCUUUUUUAGGUUUGGGUCGCCCUGAGCACGUUUGUAUGGGCCGCUCUGAACAGAGCGCUGGACCUGAGCGCCGUCCAGGUGGCCCAAGGCGUUUUAGGCGUUGUUUUUGCCUAGCGGAGCGUCCCCUUUAGAAAUAGCGCCUAGGCGGCGCUCAGGCGGUGCCCCUGACAGCAUAAACUAGGACUGCUUCGCAAGUUUAUUUGGUGACCCUGUUAUUUGAAUGCCAUUGUGUGUUGAUUUGUGUUCUAUAACUGAAUACCAUGUGGAGAUGGUGGUAAAAACUGAAUAUAAUAUGUGGUAGUUUGAAACUCAUGAAAUUUUGCCUGCAUGUUAUAACGACUUGGAAAACAUAUCAAUAUGUGAUAUUGUUUUUUCUUUUAAGUUCAUAAUGUAUGUUACGAUUCUACAAACUCGAUUUGUAAUUAUAUAAUCAUUAGGGUUUUUGUUUGAAUCAUUUUACUGAGGAUUGAUAAAAAUAAAUUAAAAAUGAGAAUUGAGAGAUAGACAACUAUAUAGAGGGUCUCUAUAACUCUCUAAUUAAUUCGUGCUAAUUCAUUCAUUUUUCUUAAUUAGAAUGAAUUUCCCUUGCAUUUUGUUUAAGUGCAAUAUAAAACAUAAGACCUAGUUAGACAUUUUGGCAUAUUGUUUUAGAUUAGAAUAAACAACGAAAGUCCUUCAGUCCCUUAGACUAUAAACAAGAUGGUAAUGUGGGAAAUGAAAAGUCCUUUGGGCUAUAAACAAGAAAAAUUCCUUAAAAUCAACGAAAGUCCCUCCAUCCCUUGGACUAUAAACAAGAUGGGAAUGUUGCAAGAGAAAAGUCCCUUGGACUAUAAACAAGAAAGACCCUUGAGAUCAACGAAAGUCCCUCAGUCCCUUAGACUAUAAACAAGAUGGGAAUGUUGGAAGAGAAAAAGUUCCUUGGACUAUAAACAAAAAGAGUCUCCAGAGAUCAACAAAAGUUUUUCAGUCCCUUGGACUAUAAACAAGAUGGGAAUGUUGGAAGAGAAAAGGCCCCUGGAUUAUGAACAAGAAAAAUCCCUUAAGAUCGACAAAAAAAGUCCCUUCGAUUAUAAACAAGAAAAGUCACUUAAGAUCAACGAAAGUCCCUCAGUCCCUUUGAUUAUAAACAAUAUGGGAAUGUUGGAGGAAAAAAGUCCCUUGGAUUACAAACAAGAAAAAUCCCUUAAGAUCAACGAAAGUCCCUUAGUCACUAUAAAUAACGAAAAGCCUCCGGUAAUAAGACGGGAAUGUUGGAAGAGAAAGUCCCUCUAGUCGUUGUAAUAUACUAAGCUUGGAAAUAAUAUUUCAAUUUCAUGUGUUGUGUUGUAAGUUGUUGGAAAUAAAUAAUGUGUGACUUUAUGCUAUGUCAUCCGAUGAAGGUGAAUAUUUUAUUCUUUUUGCUAGGAGUGCUUAUGAAGUUUAUUUGGUGACCCAGUUAUUGGAAUGCCAUUGUGUGUUGAUUUGUGUUUUAUAGCUGAAUAACAUGAAAUGUUGGUGGUAAAAACUGAAUAUAUUGGGUGGUAGUUUGAAACUGAUGAAAUUUUGCCUACAAAACGAUAUGGAAAACAUAUCAAUGUGAUAUUAUUUUUCUUUUAAGUUCAUAAUGUAUAUUACGAUUCUGCAAGCUCGAUUUGGAAUUAUAUGAUCAUUAAGGUUUUUGUUUGAAUCAUUUUACUGAGGAUUGAUAAAAAUUAAUUAAAAUGAGAAUUGGGAGUUGAAUUUUGUUUAACUGCAAUGUAAAACCUAAGGCUUAGUUAGACAUUUUGGCAUAUUGUUUUAGAUUAGAAUAAAUAACGAAAGUUCCUCAAGACCAAUUUUUAAAGAUUUAGAACUGAAAUACCCCUCUAUCUAGAUUUAAUCUUUUUAAUUAAUAAUUAUUAAACAUCCAUCAUCUCUAACCCAAACCCCACAAUCCCUAAUACACAACCCAUCACCACCCAUUCACCUCCAUCAUUAGUAUACUAAAACCACCACUAUUUGUGUAAUUGGUGAACUUUGUCUUUGAAAACAAUUGGAUAAGCUGUCGACUUAUGCAACAAACAAUUGGAUAAAUGUUCACCUACAUGGGGCAACAUAGAAUACAGUCACAUUAUUUAUUUUCAACAACUUACAAAACAUCACAUCAAAAUAAAAAUCAAACAGUCACCCCCAAACAAGAUAUUACAUUGUCCUCAACAUAAGAUAUAUGAGAAAAACAUAAAAAAUAAAUAAAUAGGAUAUUACCCCAUACAUGGCGUGUUUGUAGCUUAUUCUAUAACCAACCUUUUCUUCGUGUUGGAAAUAUUACUUCAAAGGUUAAUAUAUUACAACGGCUAGAGGGACUUUCUCUUCCAACAUUCUCAUCUUAUUUAUACUUUAAGUGACCAAGGGCUUUCGUUGUUUAUAAUAAAAGUCAAACAGUCACCCCCAAACAAGAUAUUACAUUGUCCUCAACAUAAGAUAUAUGAGAAAAACAUAAAAAAAAAAAUAGGAUAUUACCCCAUACAUGGCGUGUUUGUAGCUUAUUCCAUAACUAACCUUUAUUCGUGUUGGAAAUAUUACUUUAAAGGUUAAUAUAUUACAACGGCUAGAGGGACUUUCUCUUCCAACAUUCCCAUCUUAUUUAUACUUUAAGUGACCGAGGGCUUUCGUUGUUUAUAAUGACUAAGGGAGUUUCAUUGAUCUUAAGGGACUUUUCCAGUUUAUAGUCCAAAGGACUUUUUUGUUGAUUUUAAGGGACUUUUCUAGUUUAUACUUCAAAGGAUUUUUCUCUUCCAACAUUCCCAUCUUGUUUAUAAUCCAAGGAAUUUUUCUCUUCCAAUAUUCCGAUCUUGUUUAUAGUCCGAGAGACUUUUGUCGAUCUCAGGGAACUUUUCUUGUGGUUAGUCCAAGGGACUUUUCUCUUUCAAUAUUCCCAUAUUAUUUAUAGUCCAAGGGAUUGAGGGACUUUUGUUGAUCUCAAGGCACUUUUUUUGUUUAUAGUCCAAGGGACUUUUCUCUUCCAACAUUGCCAUCUUGUUUAUACUCCAAG